ensembl:lncRNA novel transcript, sense intronic to MAP4K3
CAUUUCUUUGUUAAUGAACUUUUCAUGCACUUUUUUUACUUAUCUAGUAGUCUGCUUAUUGAGUAGUUUGCCUUUUCAUCAUGUGUCUGUGACACAGAGCAAGUAUCUUUUCUAUGCCUUGGCAAAUUGUCAUAUUGCUUUCUAAUUUUCUUUCUAAUCAUGAUCAUGAUGUGCAUCUGUUAUUUACGUAGUAAUUUGUGAACUGAAAGGCUACCAAUAAAGUUUAUACUUUAUGCAAUUUCAAUUAAUAUACAGUGGUAACUGUUAUUUGAACCAUGAUGUAGGGAACUAGUGUUAUUUAACUAAAUUAUGGUAACUGAAAUUGGUGCAUAACAAAGCUGUAAAACAAGGACUGCCUAUAUCCUUUUCAGUGCACUAAAUGCUACAUGAUUGUUUCUUACCUCACCCUAUGUACUUGUCAUGUCUUUUUAAAAAUGUACUCAAAGAACAGAAAUAAUAAACCAAAUAGAGAAGCAA